rnacentral:rRNA from 1 species
GAUCCUGGCUCAGGAUGAACGCUAGCUACAGGCUUAACACAUGCAAGUCGAGGGGCAUCAGUUUGGUUUGCUUGCAAACCAAAGCUGGCGACCGGCGCACGGGUGAGUAACACGUAUUCAACCUGCCUCAUACUCGGGGAUAGCCUUUCGAAAGAAAGAUUAAUAUCCGAUAGCAUAUAUUUCCCGCAUGGGUUUUAUAUUAAAGAAUUUCGGUUAUCGAUGGGGAUGCGUUCCAUUAGGCAG